rnacentral:tRNA from 3 species
GCGGGAAUAGCUCAGUUGGUAGAGCAUCAGCCUUCCAAGCUGAGGGUCGCGGGUUCGAACCCCGUUUCCCGCU